rnacentral:rRNA from 1 species
CCUACGGGUGGCAGCAGUGGGGAAUAUUGGGCAAUGGGCGCAAGCCUGACCCAGCGACGCCGCGUGAAGGAAGAAGGCUUUCGGGUUGUAAACUGCUUUUAAGAGGGAAGAGCAGAAGACGGUACCUCUUGAAGAAGCCACGGCUUACUAUGUGCCAGCAGCCGCGGUAAUACGUAGGUGGCAAGCGGUGUCCGGAUUUACUGGGUGUAAAGGGCGUGCAGGCGGGAAGAUAAGGCAGAUGUUAAAUCCCGGGGCUCAACCGCGGAACUGCAUUUGAAACUGUCUUUCUUGAGUACCAGAGAGGUAAGCGGAAUUCCUGGUGUAGCGGUGAAAUGCGUAGAUAUAAGGAAGAACACCAGUGGCGAAGGCAGAUGACUGG